AAUCGGGUCAACGCGGAUGCAAGGCAGGGAACCGCACGGGAAGUGCAUGGAAAGCCCGAGUGCAUUCGCGAGAUGGGUCCCGUGUGUUUGUGUGUUGCAGUGCUCCUCGUCGUCGCCGCCGCAGCUUCCGCAUCUCAGAAUGCCCACUCAGAGAAAACAGCGUCAAAUGAAGUCCCAGAAGAUGAUGGAGAAUCCCAGAAAUUCACUCUCCAUGAAAGGCAAAUCUCAACGGCAACCAACGCUGAAAAGGAAGUUAUGGCGUACAAGAAUAUUGAAGAGCUUACUUGCUACAUUGAAAAAAUUCAAGAGCACCGUACGGAAAGGAUGAAUGGUGCCACGCUUUUUGCCUCUACGUUGCAAAUUUCUCAUAAAAAGGCGAGACAGCUAUGGGGCCCUAAAAUUGUUGAAUUUUGCAACGGGAUGCAAAUCAAACUUCUCCUCUCCAGACCGCCAGUGCCCAACUCACCGAGUCAUCAAGUGCUAUCCUCCAGCCAUCAGCCGAAGAUUCAGCCUAACGAUCCAAUAUUACGAAAUCAGCGUUCUCUCACCAGCUCUAGCGAGGUUCUGAUUCUCAACGAGGAUAGUGUGGAUGCUGCCUCGGUCCAUUCUGAGACAAGGAGUCGUAUCAAACGGAGGACUAAACGGGAAACAGACCGGAAGUCGCGGUACAGAGGCCAAGUACAAACCCAAUUUAUAGCUUUUGGCGGGGGCAAAGAUGGCACAAAUAGCGGAACGGCUGAAGCAAUUGCUCAGCCAGAUAUGUCAAGAGCUACUGUUAGUGGCACUCAAGGUAUGGGUCAGGCUCAGAGUCAAUCAGCCUCAGGCGAUGACUGUGAUUACUGCAAUUCUCCCACGGAUCAGAGAGGGGGAAGCGUCAAACCGGGUACAAAUCUGAACGACGGUCGAGCUCGGGUAUCUGAUUCUAGUAAGCAAUCGGGGACUCCUGGUGUACAUCAUGGAAUACCAGACCAAACAUCUGAUUAUCCUGGAGCUCAGACGGCACGGCCGGGACAAAUUAGUACUCCAGGAAGUAUUGGAACGCCUCAUCAGACUCCAGGAUACCCAAGUGGUCUACCCGGCGGUCCUGGUGAUCCUGGAUACCCUGGUGGUUUGGCUACAAUUCCAGGACAAAUUGGAGUUGUAGGAAGUGUUGAGACAACUCCUCAGAUAACUGGAUAUCCUGGUGGUCCGGAUGAAACUCCUGGUCGUCAAACAUCGUUUCCAGGACAAGCACCCGUUCCUGGGAGUGUUGGGACAUCUCCACAGAUUACUGGAUAUCCUGGUGGUCAAACAAUACUUCCCGGGCAAGUUGCAAUUCCAGGGAGUGUUGGGACGUCUCCACAGAUUACUGGGUAUCCUGGUGGUCAAACAAUACUUCCUGGGCAAGGUGCAAUCCCAGGGAGUGUUGGGACGUCUCCACAGAUUACUGGGUAUCCUGGUGGUCAAACAAUACUUCCCGGGCAAGGUGCAAUCCCAGGGAGUGUUGGGACGUCUCCGCAGAUUACUGGGUAUCCUAGCGGUCUGGUAAGCACUCCUGGUGGUCAAACAAUACUUUCCGGGCAAGGUGCAAUCCCAGGGAGUGUUGGGACGUCUCCACAGAUUACUGGGUAUCCUGGUGGUCCGGUUGGUACUCCUGGUGGUCAAAUAAUACUUCCCGGGCAAGGUUCGAUUACAGGUAGUGUUGGGACGUCUCCGCUGAUUCCUGGAUACCCAAGUGGUUCGACUGGAGUAUCUGGUGGUCAAGUAUUACUUCCGGGACAAGUUGGAGUACCAAGUGGCGUUGGGACGACUCCCCAGAUUACUGGAUACCCAAGUGGUUCGACUGGAGUAUCUGGUGGUCAAGUAUUACUUCCGGGACAAGUCGGAGUACCAAGUGGCGUUGGGACGACUCCCCAGAUUACUGGAUACCCAGGUGGUCCAGCUGGAACUCCAGGUAGCUCUACUUAUAUUGGUGGUCAAUUAUUUCCACCCGGACAUGAUGGCAUUCAGGGGACUUUUGGAAAGACCCCUCAGAUUACUGGAUACCCUGGAGGUCAAUUUUCGCAACCCGGACAAGUUGGAAUUCCUGGAGCAGGAACCAGAUAUCCAGGUGUUCCGAGUUCUUUCCCAGGUUUUAGUCAAGGAACGACAUCUAUUCAGCCUGGAACUUUCACCGGGGGACCCUCUAUUCCAGGGCAAAUAGGCUAUCCUGGUGGAGGGGCCCAAGGCCCGGGUCAAACCCAAUAUCCGAGUGGCUCAGUGAGAACGCCAGAUCAAAAUAUUUAUUCUCAGGGUCAAACUGGCUAUACUGGCGGGCAGGUUGGAGGUAGCUAUCCUUCCAGCCAAGGUGGCUUUCCCGGGACCCAGUCACAAUCUCUGCAACCCGAUGUAAAGGGACGUGUUCCGGGGGUGGUUGGAUAUCCGAGUGGCCAAGGAGUUUCUUACCCCGACGAUGGACUAAGAGGGCACACAACUGCGCAAGGCACAUCACUGGGAGGUUUACAUUCUCCCGGUCAGUCCUCGUAUUCAGGAGGUGGAACUUUCCCUUCGAUCGGAUACCCUCAAGCCAAAGAGGUUUUCCAGAAUAUUCAGGUGUAG
rnacentral:lncRNA from 1 species